UGAUAGAGCAGAUAAAAUGCUGGUCCCGGGGGGGGGGGGAAAAAAGAGUGAACAAAAUUCACGUUUAAGGACCUCUGGUACAUGGACGCGGAUCAGAGCCGUCGAUACAGACGUAGCGUUCGAUGAAAAGUCAGUUCGAGGACACAGGCGCUAUUUGGUAAAACUGAUCGAACGGGCGAAAGCGAGCGAGGCGAGUGGAGAGUACUCAGAAAGAUUGCAGCGACGCUGAAGAGUAAUUACGUACAUCAAGAGGGAGACAGCCCCUUUUUACAGACACGUGAAAGGGACACAAAAGGCCCUCGUCGGACAUUGUAAUCGUUGAUUACGCUCACUGUACGUGCAGAGAUAAAAUGAAGGGGAGGUGCGUCCACGUUACUUGGAAGUCUAUACAUUUUCCACAAGAUCCCGGAGUAGUAGUGGCAGUAACAGUUGGGAAAAGCGUGGCGAGCUUAGUAAACAAAUGAACGAGAAGACCCGAGUUCAAAUCCACCCACGGAUACCGCUGGUUUUUACGGACGCUACCUCUCUCUCGGAGAUAAGUGGCAACUAACCGAGAGUAUCCUGCCACACAUAUCCCUGUCCUCCGAAAAGGGGGUUGGCGAGAGGCUAACAACCCCUCACCGUAAAAAAUAGCAUAGAGAAUAACCGAAGUAGUCUGUUGAAAUUGCCAUAACGCCCUUGCGUUUUUCUUUUGUUCUUCCGAUAAAUCUAGCAGAGAAUAAACCAUGCCGCGUGCCAUGGCUUUGAUGCCAUUUGUCAUUUGAUUAUAUUCCGUUUUCAAGAGGAUUUCAAAAUGUUUAAAAUAAAGCAGGUCAAUCUGAAGCAAUCAUAUAUAUUAGUUGGAAAAGGCGGGGGUGAGGCCAAAGCUGUCACCUAGGGGUCAACUCUGUAUCUUACAAUAAUAGUGAAAAUAAAAGUGAGUGGCUCUAAGGGGACGAUUAGAAAGAGACAAAGCUACUCGCUUUUUUUCACUAUAGUGUAAGAUACAGAAUUGACCCCCUUGAUCUUAAAGCUCCUCUACGACAACAUGACAUUCCAGAGAGUAACUGUGCAAAAUUUAGUCCAGAAAGGGUUUAGAAAUUAAAUAAAGAAAACGCACGGGCGUUCUCUUUUAUACGCGUAGAAAACGGGGAUAAUUAUACAAGGUAUGUCCCAAAAGUAAUGCGUCGCAUUUUUUUUUGACGCGACUAUAUGUCGCAGAGCGGUCAGACCGAUUUGGAUAGGAUGGGGGAAGUUUAAGCUUUCCAACGGUUCCGCGCUGAGUUGUCUCCGUGCCCUGGAUAGGUCACAAUGUGUCUGUUUGUGAGCUCCUGUGUAGAAGUCUCGUCGUACUUACGAUGGAGAAAACUGUAGAGCAAAGAUACGUGAUCAAGUUUUGCGUGAAGCUGAACAAGACGCCGCUGGAAACUUUCGAGAUGCUUCAGCAAGCCUUCGGUGACGAUUGUCUGUCCAGAUCGCGGUCAAACAGGUGGCACAAGAUGUUCAAAGAAGGCCGGGAGGAGGUCGCCGACGAAGCCCGCCAAGGACGCAACGUCGCGAAACGACGACAGUGUGACUCGUGUGCGCCAGUUGCUGAAUUCUGACCGUCGAAUGAGUGUUCGGUUAAUGUCGGAUUUAUUGAACAUACCGAAAAGUACGAGACUUCUACACAGGAGCUCACAAACAGACACGUUGUGACCUACCCAGGGCACGGAGAGAACUCAGCGCGGAACCGUUGGAAAGCUUAAACUUCCCCCAUCCUAUCCAAAUCGGUCUGACCGCUCUGCGACAUAUAGUCGCGUCAAAAAAAAUGCGACGCAUUACUUUUGGGACAUACCAUGUAAUAUCAUCAGAUUCUCUCUGCGGAAUCAUCGACCCUUAUUGAUCAUCCCUUGGCAAAUAACAUCCCGUGAGAAAUGACAUCCACGGUCCACGGAAAUGAGAUCGAUGACGCUUGCCGGAGCGUGCCUAUUGUUCGUGACGGUCGCAAAGUGGAGCAAAGUCGAGGCAUAACGGAAUGGUCAUUUGCGAGAUGAACUCCGGGCAGGCCGUUAAAAGGAGGGGUGGGGGCUCGCCUAUUAAUCCACCGAGACAUCGGUAAAUCAUUGCCGGUCCAGCGACUAUCGGGCGGAAAUUCUCGCGACUACGGCACGGCUCGUAUCUCGAGUCGAUUUCCACGCUCGUUUGCGAUAUCUCUCUUUCUCCGCGGCGAUAUCUCUCCGGGAAUCCGGCAAUCUUUGUCCGCGAGAGGCACAAUUUUAUUACGUCAAUCACGUUCCGGAUGAAAUCGAGCGAAGGGGCAUCGGGAUCUCGGGCGGAGAUUCGAUUUUGAGCGAGAAAGUCCCGGCACACGUUCGGAAAUGUGUUUCUUAGAAAGUUACGAUUUAUAUGCAUUGCGACCGGCCACGCGAACGCUAUACGAGAAUACAAACUGGAGUACAAUAUUUAAGGGGAUCCUAAAGCCGCUGGCGGGCUCGAUCAGUGCCGAUUUCCACUGCACAACGUUCGUCCUCUUCGAGUGGAAUCGGGACGGACCGAUUUCGGAGCGUUCGACGGAUGCAG